CUGGAGGUGGGCCUGGAGGAAGUGAGAAUCGGGAUACGGCCCAGGUUGCUGAAGCUGGGUACCUCUGGUGAGGAAGAUGAGAGAGAGCAAUCUUUCCCUUUCUGUUGGCAUGUGUUCAGACGCUCAACAUAUAAAUUCCAGCAGUUCCUUGUGCUCCCAUGAAUCCUUUUGAGUCUUCUCUAGCAUUCCAUUACAGGAAAAGUUGCCAGUUCACAGAACAUCUGUCAUUGGAUUUAAGGCCCACCCUAAGACCAAGAUGAUCUCAUCUCAAGACCCUUAAACCAGCUGCAGCAAAGACCUUAUUUCCAACUAAGGUCACAUUCACAAGUAUCAGGACUUAGACAUAUCUUUUUAUAGUCACUAUUCAACCCAUUACAACAUGCAAAUAGUACCCAAAAGAGAGCUGGGUAGCUAGACUAAUAGCAGACAAAACUUUAGGACUUCACUAGUGGUGCAAUGGUUAAGAAUCUGCCUGCCAGUGCAGGGGACAUGGGUUUGUUUCCUGGGCCAGGAAGAUCCCACAUGCCGCGCACAGAUCAACUAAGCCCAUGCGCCACAACUACUGAGCUUGUGCUCUAGAGCCCGCGGGCCACAACUACUGAGCCCAUGCGCCUAGAGCCCAUGCUCUGCAACAAGAGAAGCUACCUCAAUGAGAAGCCCACACACUGCAGCAAAGUGUAGCCCCUGCUCACCACAACUAGAGAAAGCCCAUAUACAGCAACAAAGACCCAAUGCAGCCUAAAAAUAAAUUAAUUUAAAAAAUAAAAAUAAAAACUUGAAAUAAAAAAUUGUUACAAGAGACAAAAAAAAGACAUUGUAUAUUGGACUUCCCCUGGUGGCACAGUGAUUAAGAAUCCACCUACCAGGACUUCCUAGGUGGCACAGUGGGUAAGAAUCCGCCUGCCAAUGCAGGGGACACGGGUUCAAUCCCUGUCCCACGAAGAUACCACAUGCUGAAGAGCAACUAAGCCCAUGCACCACAACUACUGAGCCUGCACUCUAAAGCCCAUGAGUCACAACUGUUGAGCCCAUGUGCCGCAACUACUAGAGCCCGUGCUCUGCAACAAGAGAGGCCACUGCAAUGAGAAGCCUGUGCACCACAAUGAAGAGUAGCCCCCGCUCACCGCAACUAGAGAAAGCCAGUGCGCAGCAACGAAGACCCAACACAGCCAAUAAAAAUAAAUAAAUUAAUUAAUUUAAAAAAAAAGAAUCCGCGUGCCCAUUCAGGGGACACAGGUUCAAUCCGUGGUCUGGGAAGAUCCCACAUGCCUCAGAGCAACUAAGCCUGUGCGCCACAGCUACUGAGCCUGUGUGCUGCAACUACUGAAGCCCUCUAGCCUAGAGCCCAUGCUCUGCAACAAGAGAAGCCAUAGCACUGAGAUGCCUGCACACUGCAACGAAGAGCAGCCCCCACUUGCCACAACUAGAGAAAGCCUGCACGCAGCAACAAAGACCCAACACAGCCAAAAAUAAUUUUUAAAAAGACAUCAUAUAUUGAUAAGAAGGUCAGUCCUUCAAGAAGAUAUGAUAAUUAUAAACAUAUAUCCACCUAAAAACAAAGCCCUAAAAUAUAUGAAGCAAAAACUGGCAGAAUUGAAGGGAUAAACAGUUCUACAAUGAUAGUUGAAGACUUCAGUAUGCUAUGUCAGUAAUGGAUGGAACAACCUCACAGAAGAUCAGUAAGGAAAUAUUCAACACUAUGAGCCAACUAGACCUAACAUAUCUAUAGGACACCCAACAACAACAGAAUACUUAUUCUUCUCAACUAAACAUGGAAUAUUCUCCAGGAUGGACCAUAUGUUAAGCCACAAAACAAAUCUCAAUAAAUUUAAAAGACUGAAAUCAUACAGAGUAUCUUAUACAGCCACAAUAGAAUGAAACUAGAAAUUAACAGCAGAAGGAAACUUGGAAAUUUUGUAAAUAUGUGGAAAUUAAACAACACACUCUUAAACAACCUGUGGGUCAAAGAAGAAAUCAAAAGAAAGAUUAGAAAAUAAUUUAAGGGGCUUCCUAGGUGGCGCAGUGGUUAAGAAUCCGCCUGCCAAUGCAGAGGUCAUGGGUUCGAUCCCAGCUCCAGGAAGAUCCCACAUGCUGCGGAGCAACUAAGCCCGUGUGCCAAAAAAAAAAAAAAAAAAAAAGAAAAUAAUUUAAGAUGAAUGAAAAUGAAAACAUGUCAAAACUCAUGGGAAUACAUCAAAAGCAGUGCUCAGAGAGAAAUUUAUAGCUGAAAAUGCUUACAUUAAAAAAGAAGAGAGGACUUACCUGGUGACACAGUGGUUAAGAAUCUGCCUGCCAAUGCAGGAGGCACGGGUUUGAUUCCUGGUCUGGGAAGAUCCCACAUGCCACGGCUCAACUAAGCCCGUGUGCCACAACUAUGGAUCCUGCUCCACAAAGAGAAGCCACCACAAUGAGAAGCCUGCACACUGCAAGGAAGAGUAGCCCCCACUUGCUGCAACUAGAGAAAGUCCGCAUGCAGCAACAAAGACCCAAAUCAAUAAACUAAAAUUAUACUCUAAGGAUCUAGAAAGAGAAAAGCAAGCUAUAUGCAAAGCUAGCAGAAGGAAGGAAAUAAUAAAGAUUAGACCAGAGAUAAAUGAAAUAAAGAAUAGAAAAACAAAAGAACCAGUGAAACCAAAAGUUGACUCUUUGAAAACAACAAAAGGGACAAACUUUUACCUAGAAUGACUAAGAAAAACAGAGAAGAUGUAAAUUACUAAAGUCAGAUUGAAAAUGGGGACCUUACAGAAAUAAAACGGAUUAUUAAAAAAUACUAUGAACAACUGUAUGCCGACAAAUUAGAUAAUCUAAAUGAAAUGGACGAAAUCCUAGAAAAACACAUACUACAAAAACUGACUCAAGGAAAAAUAGAAAAAUUUGAACAGACUUAUAACAAGUAAAAGAUUAAAUCAGACAUUAAAAACCUUCCCCCCAAAAAAGCCUAGGGCCAGAAGGCUCACUGGUGAACUCUACCAAACAUUUAAAGAAUUAACACCAACACUUCUCCAACUCCUCCAAAAAAUAAAAAAAAGGAAGAAGAAUUUCCUAAUUCAUUUGUGACACCAGCAUUACCAAAGCCAGACAAAACCAACACAAAAAAGGAAACUAGAGACCAAUAUUCCUUAUGAAUAUAGGUGAAAAAAAUCUUCAACAAAAUAGUAGCAAACCUAACCCAGCAGCACAGUGAGAGGAGUAUACAUCAUGGGAUUUAUCCUAGAACACAAGGGUGGUUCAACAUAAUGAAAACUAUACCACAUUACCAGAAUGAAAGGGAAAAAAACCACAUAAUCAUCUCAUUUAAUGCAGAAAACGCAUUUGAAAAUAUCCAACGCCUUUUCCUGAUGAAAACUUUCAACAAAUUAGGAGUAGAAGGGAACUUCCUCACCAUGAUAAAGGACAUUUAUAAAAAACUCACUGCUAACAUUCUACUCAGUGGUCAAGGCUGUACUCUUUU